CCUGCACUCUGAUAUCCAUCUCACCCGCUUCUAAGUGUCCAUCACAGCAGGCGUGGAAACCUGGAGGUUCCCUUCAGAUUUCACAACGCUUUCUUUCCAAUUUCCUUAUGUUUCAGGUCUUGGAUCUCUUCCCUGGCUCCUGCACUCUGAUAUCCAUCUCACCCGCUUCUAAGUGUCCGUCACAGCAGGCGUGGAAACCUGGAGGUUCCCUCCAGAUUUCACAACGCUUUCUUUCCAAUUUCCUUAUGUUUCAGGUCUUGGACCUCUUCCUGGGCUCCUGCACUCUGGUAUCCAUCUCACCCGCUUCUAAGUAUCCAUCACAGUAGGCAUGGAA
ensembl:lncRNA